UAAGAAAGAAAAGAAAAAAAAGGAAGGUUCUAACAUUGAGAGCUAGCAAAGGUCACUUGUUCUCCAAAUAGUCACUCGUAAGAAGGUAGAGUAAUCAUUUGUMCCCMAUAUAGGAAAGAAGUACAGAAURGGCACKUGGWGGKUUAACUGUCUCAUUUUARUUGCUCAAUGAACUUGAUCUUUCAGUACAAAAGCUGAAAUACUCCCAUAAGACGAGAAGACCCUGUGGAGCUUAAGCCACAGCACUACUACCAUAUAGCGCCUCCCUUUAGUUGGGGCGACUGCGGAACAAAACACAACUUCCCUGCCACACAUUAAACCCCGCAACGACGCACAUGUCACUGCACCCACACCACGACCCAGUACUACUGACUAACGAACCAAGUUACCCCAGGGAUAACAGCGCCAUCCUCUUCUAGAGCCCCUAUCGCCAAGAGGGUUUACGACCUCGAUGUUGGAUCASGASMWCCCGGUGGGGCAGCCNNCNNCCCCNNCUACCAAGCNCCNNCNGGUGWUUUUUUUUUCAAAUAAAAGUGCCCUAUGUGAUCUGAGUCAGACCAGAGAAAA
rnacentral:rRNA from 1 species